AGGGUGAGGUCGAGGGAGUGAGCGGUGACCCCGCCGAGGGCGACCAGCAGAGACCACCGCGCCGCAGAUUCCGCCCCCCCUUCCGAAGGCAAUUCCGUCCCCGUCCGCCUGCGGCACUUCAAGGGGAGGAGGAGGAGCCUGAGGGGCAGGAGGAGGAGCCUGAGAGGCAGCAGGAGGAGCCCGAGGGGGGGGCUGAGGUGGUCCACACUGUAGGGGACGAGCAGCUGCUGGAUGUGAAGCCCCCGGAGCCCCCGGGAGACCCUCUGGGCGACGGGGAGCUGGCGGAGGGCCAAGGCCAGAGGCACCGGCGACAGUUCGGGCGUCGCAGGCAGAGGAACUCUGACUCCUCCGCCGCAUCUAAAAAUGGAACAGAGAAAUCUGCCUCCGAGCCCAGCACGCCUCCGCCUGUCUCAAAGCCAUCAGUCCUCGCCACUCCUCCACCUGCCUCAAAGCCGUCGGACCUAAAGUCCUCGCCAAAGUCUCCCAAGUCCUCGCCAAAGUCCUCUCCCAAAACCACAAAAUCCCUUGAGUCGCCUGCCAAAACGGUUCCCACGGCAACGGAAUGACUCCGGGGAGAGACUCCAGCGUCGCGAUGCCCACGGAAAGAGGUGUGUACCUCUUCUGGUGGUCAGUGAGCCAUUUCCUUUAUUUAUUUUUUGUUUGGACGGUGUGGGCCUCGGCACUAAUCUCUGGCCUUGUGUCCGGCGCUA
ensembl:lncRNA